rnacentral:rRNA from 1 species
GAUGAACGCUGGCGGCGUGCCUAAUACAUGCAAGUCGAGCGAACGGACGAGAAGCUUGCUUCUCUGAUGUUAGCGGCGGACGGGUGAGUAACACGUGGAUAACCUACCUAUAAGACUGGGAUAACUUCGGGGAACCGGAGCUAAUACCGGAUAAUAUUUUGAACCGCAUGGUUCAAAAGUGAAAGACGGUCUUGCUGUCACUUAUAGAUGGAUCCGCGCUGCAUUAGCUAGUUGGUAAGGUAACGGCUUACCAAGGCAACGAUGCAUAGCCGACCUGAGAGGGUGAUCGGCCACACUGGAACUGAGACACGGUCCAGACUCCUACGGGAGGCAGCAGUAGGGAAUCUUCCGCAAUGGGCUAAAGCCUGACGGAGCAACGCCGCGUGAGUGAUGAAGGUCUUCGGAUCGUAAAACUCUGUUAUUAGGGAAGAACAUAUGUGUAAGUAACUGUGCACAUCUUGACGGUACCUAAUCAGAAAGCCACGGCUAACUACGUG